rnacentral:rRNA from 1 species
AGAACGAACGCUGGCGGCAUGCCUAACACAUGCAAGUCGAACGAGACCUUCGGGUCUAGUGGCGCACGGGUGCGUAACGCGUGGGAAUCUGCCCUUGGGUUCGGAAUAACAGCGAGAAAUUGCUGCUAAUACCGGAUGAUGACGUAAGUCCAAAGAUUUAUCGCCCAAGGAUGAGCCCGCGUAGGAUUAGCUUGUUGGUGAGGUAAGAGCUCACCAAGGCGACGAUCCUUAGCUGGUCUGAGAGGAUGAUCAGCCACACUGGGACUGAGACACGGCCCAGACUCCGUACGGGAGGCAGCGAGGUGGGGAAUAGUUGGACAAGUGGGACGAAAGCCUGAUCCAGACAAUGCCGCGUGAGUGAGUGAAGGUCCGUUUAGGGUUAGUAAGUCGUUACUUUACCCGAG